CCUACGGGAGGCAGCAGUAGGGAAUAUUGCUCAAUGGGGGAAACCCUGAAGCAGCAACGCCGCGUGGAGGAUGAAGGUUUUCUGAUUGUAAACUCCUUUUGUUAGAGAGGAUAAUGACGGUAUCUAACGAAUAAGCACCGGCUAACUCCGUGCCAGCAGCCGCGGUGAUACGGAGGGUGCAAGCGUUACUCGGAAUCACUGGGCGUAAAGGGCGCGUAGGCGGGAUAGCAAGUCAGAUGUGAAAUCCUAGGGCUUAACCAUAGAACUGCAUUUGAAACUGUUAUUCUAGAGUAUGGGAGAGGUAGGUGGAAUGCGUGGUGUAGGGGUAAAAUGCGUAGAGAUCAAGAGGAAUACUGAUUGCGAAGGCGACCUGCUAGAACAUAACUGACGCUGAUGCGCGAAAGCGUGGGGAGCAAACAGGAUUAGAUACCCUUGUAGUC
rnacentral:rRNA from 1 species